rnacentral:rRNA from 1 species
UGGGGAAUCUUGCGCUAAUGCGGGAAACCGUGACGCAGCGACGCCGCGUGAGGGAAGAAGGCCUUCGGGUUGUAAACCUCUUUCAGGAGGGACGAAGCCACUCGGGUUAAUAGCCCAGAGGGUGACGGUACCUCCAGAAGAAGCCCCGGCUAACUACGUGCCAGCAGCCGCGGUAAGACGUAGGGGGCCAGCGUUGUUCGGAAUUACUGGGUGUAAAGGGUUCGUAGGCGGUGUGGCAAGUUGGGAGUGAAAUCUCUGGGCUCAACCCAGAGGCUGCUUCCAAAACUGCUGUGCUUGAGUGUGGGAGAGGCGCGUGGAAUUGCAGGUGUAGCGGUGAAAUGCGUAGAUAUCUGCAGGAACACCCGUGGCGAAAGCGGCGCGCUGGACCACAACUGACGCUGAGGAACGAAAGCUAGGGGAGCAAACAGG